CAGCCGCCGCGGUAAUACGAAGGGGGCUAGCGUUGUUCGGAAUUACUGGGCGUAAAGCGUGCGCAGGCGGUUGUGUAAGACAGGUGUGAAAUCCCCGGGCUUAACCUGGGAACUGCGCUUGUGACUGCACAGCUAGAGUAUGGCAGAGGGGGGUGGAAUUCCACGUGUAGCAGUGAAAUGCGUAGUGAUGUGGAGGAACACCAGUGGCGAAGGCGACUCUCUGGUCUGUAACUGACGCUGAGGAGCGAAAGCGUGGGGAGCGAACAGGAUUAGAUACCCGCGUAGUCCCUGUCUCUUAUAC
rnacentral:rRNA from 1 species